CCUGAUCCACUCUCUUCUCUUCCCCUUUUAUUAUAUCCUCCCUCUCCCUCUCAGAUUCUCCACAAGGACAAGAAAAUACAAGAGGUCAUAUGCGUCUGUGAAAAAGCCCAUUCCAGCAAUAAUAAUUGCAGUGAAGUGGUACCAUUGUGUUUUCGCUACAUCAAGAGCAUUAAGAACUUGCAAAUCCUUAGCCAUCGCUAGUUCAAUUAGAAGCUCUUUUUUUUUU
rnacentral:misc_RNA from 1 species